UUUAAAUACAAACAUAUGUACUCGGUAUCAAACCGAAAAGUCUCUAGAUUGUACAAAAAAAAAAGUGCAACAAAAUUAAUGCCAAAAUAAUUUUUAUAAUAAGCGUGAAAUUAAUAAUUACAGUUAUCGAUUAACCAAUGGUGCCAUUUCAAACAUUAGAAAAAAUAAAAAAAAUGUGAGAAUCCCAAAACACGAUCGGUUUUCCAAAAAAGAAAUUUUGAUCAUCCAUCAUAAUUUAACACAGCCCUCACCGCUUCCAUUGCUACACCUUUGGCACUAUUUGUAUUCGAUCCAGUAAACAGCUGCCCAUCCUCCACAAUGAAAGGGUCCUCAACGUAUACAGGAGGAGAUUCAAAAAUGGCGCCAAUGUUUUCGGCAAUGUGACCAAAACUAUAGAAAUUAAGACGGUUCAUCACAUUCAAGACACCAUUUUGGACUUCAUCCUUCCAAGUGCAACCGGUCACACGGCGGUUCGUACACAAAGCUUGCCCAUCAGAAUUCGUCGUGUAAGCCAAGGCAAUGUUAGCUUGUGCAACGGCGCAUAUAAUUCCUUUUGUUUCAUAAAACCGAUACAAAAAGUCCUGUACAACUUUGGCAUGGGGGAAAUCAAAAGAACAGCCAUAUCCUCCAGGUAUAUAAACAAUCACAUAGUCCGAAGGAUUCAAUCGAUCCAGUCUUGCGAUAUUCUUUAAUUUCUUCAUCAAAGAGCAAUCAGGAUUAGAAAAUAUUGAUUGUGUUUCAUCCACUAUCGCCGGGUCUCGAAAGGAUUUAUCGUCAAAUCCAUAAUCCCCAGUAUCAGACGCAAUUACUAUGUCAAAACCAUUUUCUUCAAAUACUUUAAACGCUUCAUAUAAGUCUACUACAUUCACGCCAGUGUUAUCUCCAUCAUCAUAAAAAGGGCCAUAAUAGCUAUUCAGCAAGAAAAGUACUUUUGGUUUUUCCGACGUCUCUCCUGCUGCUUCAUGUCGUUCAUCCAUUUUUUAAUUCAAUUUUCAAUACAAUUCAAUGUCGCAAAUUUGGGUUAUCAGUUAAAAUAUCCUCGUUAUAUUUUAAAAAUUAAGAAAAGGGGAUAUUUAUCUGAUGAAAAGUUAUGUGAUCAAACUGUCAGGAAAUGUCCCUCAAGAUGAUUACACGAGUCUCAAAACUUAUUAUCUUCAAAUGCGAGUUAUUUUGAGCCUUUCAACGAUCCUCUCGAAGCAAUUUAUGUGUACGCCUCCAGCACGAAUCACGAUGACAUGCUUUUUAAUUAAAAUUACUACUUACUUUUUAAAAUUAUUCUACUAAAUAUAAAAACCUGCA